UUUAGGAGCCUGCAAGGAAGAGGAACCAGAGGAAGAGGUAAUUAAAGAAGGGGAAGCUGAUGAUGAGGAUGUUGGCACUGUUAGGUUAGCAUCUGCAAUUGCAUUAGAAGUGGUGAAAGGUCUGCUCAGGGGCAUUGGAGAUAAAAAGGUUGGAGUAGCUGAUGAGGAUUGAGGAACUGUCAUUGACUUGAUCAUUGGAGAUGAUGGAGCUGAAAGUACUAAAGAUGUAGAAGAAACUAGCACAUUUUCACCAGGCUCACUUUUGCCUGCAGGAAAUUGAAAUUUUCCACUCGGGGUGGACACUGCAGAAACACCAAAUGUGGAAGAGAACGGAGAGUCAUAAUUUUCUCCAGAUUCAAAAAGUGAACUUUUUGUAGUUGAAGCCUUAUCCUUAAUAUUUCCAAUUGUGGAAGCAAGCGUCGUUUCUUUACUACUUGAAUUAAACAUUUCACUGGAUUUCUUCAGCAAUGACACUGUUUGUGUGGGGAACAUUGUGGAUAUCGAUGGCUUUUGAUGUUGGUUAGUUUCAGACUGCACCAUAGACUUGGCCUCAUUUAAUGGAACUGAACCAGGAUUGUAAGUUAUUUCGCAGAAGGAAUGUCCUAUGGUGAUAUUGCGAGUUUCCCUCGGGCAAUCUUUUCCUAUUACAGGUGAAAAUUCAGACGCUGACAGAAAUGACAAUGCUGAAACAUUGUCUGUUUGCAAUGUAGGAAACUUUAGCCCCACAGAUUGUGAUGGUGCUGGAAGCUCAUUUGCCUGUGUGAAUUGAAUUGGGUUCUUAGAGGAUUGUUUUGUAGAUGUAUCCUGAAUGCCUGCAGAAUACACAAUUCAAAUUGAAGAGCAAUGAUCAGCCACUGUUUCUUAUUAAGCUUCUAACUGUAAGUCAAAAAAACUUUGUGGUUUUCACUUAGUUUGGCUCACCUUUGUCUUGAGACGAAUAGGUUGAAGGGGUUAUGCGAACCAGUGGGCGCUCAGCUGCUGAAACGUUAAGCAUGUGAGGGUUAAAAUGCUGCUUAUUUACUGGAAAGGAUGACCCAUUCAUGCUUGCCUUGCGGUGUUCUUGCAAAAGAAUCCGUUUAACAGUUGUUUUUGAAGGUUCAAACUUAGCCCAACUCUGCAUGCAGGUUAUCGGAAAAAACUUGUCAGUUUGAUUGUUCAGCACUAAUUGGUGAGAGGCAAAGAUUUUCUUACACGUAACUGCUUGGGAAACUUGCUAAAAUUAACUUGAACUUUACCCAAGUUCGGAAAAUUAAGAGAAAUGAGAGUAAAUUGAGUUAUCUAUUCAAGAGAUUCUCACCUUCAGUCUACAUAUCCCUUAGUGCAUGCAUGUAAAUACAUCUACUUUGAUAGAUAGAAAACGAUACAAGAAGUAUAACAUCGUUAAGUUUUUUAAAGCUUUUCACCUGAA